CCUCUUGUAGAGUUCGUCUACGAGUUUAACGGGUUGGUGAACCUAAAAUCACCCGUCACGCCUACGAAAAGGAGCCUAGGAAUCGCAUCUAGUUUUCAUAGUUUAUUUUCUUUUCUUUUGAUUUUACUCGAGGACGAGCAAAAUAUAGGUAUGGGGAAGUUUGAUGAGUGCAUAUUUUUAUAUAUUUUAAAUGCCUAAUUAUUGCUUGUUCUCACUUAUUUAUUUGUUUAUUUGUCUUUUUUUAGGAAAAUUGCAAAAGCUUGAAGAAAUAAAAGAAUAAAGCAAAAAGAAGAAAAAGAUGGAAGAAAAGGAUCAUAGGGGAAUAUUCUCA
rnacentral:lncRNA from 1 species